rnacentral:rRNA from 1 species
AGAGUUUGAUCCUGGCUCAGAUUGAACGCUGGCGGCAGGCUUAACACAUGCAAGUCGAGCGGGGAAUGGUAGCUUGCUACCUGACCUAGCGGCGGACGGGUGAGUAAUGCUUAGGAAUCUGCCUAUUAGUGGGGGACAACAUUCCGAAAGGAAUGCUAAUACCGCAUACGCCCUACGGGGGAAAGCAGGGGAUCUUCGGACCUUGCGCUAAUAGAUGAGCCUAAGUCAGAUUAGCUAGUUGGUGGGGUAAAGGCCUACCAAGGCGACGAUCUGUAGCGGGUCUGAGAGGAUGAUCCGCCACACUGGGACUGAGACACGGCCCAGACUCCUACGGGAGGCAGCAGUGGGGAAUAUUGGACAAUGGGCGCAAGCCUGAUCCAGCCAUGCCGCGUGUGUGAAGAAGGCCUUUUGGUUGUAAAGCACUUUAAGCGAGGAGGAGGCUACUUGGAUUAAUACUCUAGGAUAGUGGACGUUACUCGCAGAAUAAGCACCGGCUAACUCUGUGCCAGCAGCCGCGGUAAUACAGAGGGUGCGAGCGUUAAUCGGAUUUACUGGGCGUAAAGCGUGUGUAGGCGGCCUUUUAAGUCGGAUGUGAAAUCCCUGAGCUUAACUUAGGAAUUGCAUUCGAUACUGGGAAGCUAGAGUAUGGGAGAGGAUGGUAGAAUUUCAGGUGUAGCGGUGAAAUGCGUAGAGAUCUGGAGGAAUACCGAUGGCGAAGGCAGCCAUCUGGCCUAAUACUGACGCUGAGGUACGAAAGCAUGGGGAGCAAACAGGAUUAGAUACCCUGGUAGUCCAUGCCGUAAACGAUGUCUACUAGCCGUUGGGGCCUUUGAGGCUUUAGUGGCGCAGCUAACGCGAUAAGUAGACCGCCUGGGGAGUACGGUCGCAAGACUAAAACUCAAAGGAAUUGACGGG